rnacentral:rRNA from 1 species
UGGGGAAUCAUGGUCAAUGGGCGAAAGCCUGAACCAGCCAUCCCGCGUGCAGGAAGACGGCCCUAUGGGUUGUAAACUGCUUUUCCAGGGGGGGAAACUCUCGUACGUGAUACGGGAUUGACGGUACCCUGGGAAUAAGCAUCGGCUAACUCCGUGCCAGCAGCCGCGGUAAUACGGAGGAUGCAAGCGUUAUCCGGAUUCAUUGGGUUUAAAGGGUGCGUAGGCGGACUAUUAAGUCAGUGGUGAAAUCCUGCAGCUUAACUGCAGAACUGCCGUUGAUACUGAUAGUCUUGAGUUUGGUUAAGGUAGGCGGAAUGUGUAAUGUAGCGGUGAAAUGCUUAGAUAUUACACAGAACACCGAUUGCGUAGGCAGCUUACUGAGCCGACACUGACGCUGAGGCACGAAAGCGUGGGGAUCGAACA